CAUCAGUUUGAUGAUUGCCUUGAAGUAGUUCUUCAAACAGGCAAGGGCUGACCAAUUCAUCUUCUAGAUACCAUACAUCCAAGUUCUGGUAUGUGCAUAAUUCCGACAGCUCCAGCACUGUUUCUAUGUAACCUAACCUGACAUCCUUGUCCUCCCAGAAGAUCUCCUCUGGGUCUGAUCCAUCAUCUUGGUAGUACCGGUGGGGACUCGAGACAUCUUGGCGCAACUCACCUGGCUGUCGUCAUCUUCAUGGAAGAAUGGAUCAAGAAUAGACACAGGACUGGGUUGCUCUUGCUUUUCAUGGUUUUCCUCUUGUGAUGUUGGUCCAAGUGACGCGCUUCGUCUGGGAGUUUCUGGCUCUUGGUGCUCUAGCAUCUUGACAACAUUCUUAGGGGAACCUGGACAAAUCUCAGCAUGCUCUUUACCUGGUUCUGCUGCUUCCGUCGUUUCCUUCAAUGCAGACAUUCAAAAUUUUCAUUAAACUAACACAUCAAUGGAAACUAGAUGAAAUAGCAAUAAAUAUUGUCUUGAACAUACUGGGGGUGAGUUAUAUUUGUGUUGCUCUGCUGAAAUGCAUUGCGCAUUCCGAAUUGCUUGCGAGUGAUCCAGAUUGUCAAUUUCUUCAAUACAACCAGUAUCGAGUUCAACGUCUGCAAGUAUUCAUAUUCUGUUAAUAUAAUAUCCAUGCAGUAUUUGAUAAUUUUGUAUUCUGUAAUCACUCACCUUGUUGUGUGUCUUCUUCCUUGUAAUGUUUUUCUUGAUCAGUUUUUUCAACCGGUACUUCACUAGUACCACACUCAGCACUCCCUGAAUCUUCCUCUGAUUUAUUUCCUUCUUCCGCAGAUUCUUCCCCCUCGGUCUUUUGUAUGGCACAAAUAUUUUUCUCUUCCUGUGAAUGUUCAAUACAUUCUCUUACCCUUGGGGUACUCCCAGGUGAUGAUGGGGUACUGCACUGAGGGAGGGAAAGCAUUCCUACCAAGGACCUUGAGACCUGAACUGCUGGACUUGGAUACUUGCCAGUAUGAGUAUUGUCCUUCAGAAUUUCUGUUAAAUGUUUUUUGGCUUCUGCGUAGAAGGUGGAUGCAUCCUUUGAGGUAGAUACGUCGCUGUUGAAACCACCUAGUGAAUCAUUUAUUUGCUUGUGUUUACUGCUGUUUGAAGGUCGAGCAUCAUUUUUAUCAGUAGCUGGAGGGGCCUGUCUGGAAUCCUUUAUAAUUGUAAAUGAGUCUCUGAGCAAACACGGAUCUCUUUGUACAUCAUCUUCGUUCAUCGGGGGUCUUCCUUCUCUAGUUUCUCCGGUCACGAUUCUGAAUCUUCUCCUGACUUCCUUAACUGAAAAUGUUGAACAUUCAGCUGCACUGUAUUCUGGAGCUUGAAUUCCACCUGAUUGCCGAUGGAAGGAUGUCGAUGCAGUUGCUUCUGUAGGAUCAAAUCCUCCCCUUGGAUUUGGCUUCAGUAUUACUAUUUUGUUAACUGGCUGAGAAGACCUUCCUUCAGGUGCAUGUGUUCUGCUUGAUUUAUCUUUCUUCCAGAAAAAUAUAUUCCUGCUCUCUUUAUUCUUUGUUUUGAUAGCCAACUCACGCUGAUUUGAAGCCUUUGUAUGUUCAACAACGUUUGUUUUUUCAAGCAUUUUCUUGGGCUCGAGCCUGGCCCCUACAUGUCUGUUGCAAAUAUAUUUGUUGUCAACAAGCUGCUUUUCCUCACUCACCGGUGUUUUCUGAUAAUCAAGGUCACAUGGAGGAUUGUUAUAUUCAUUAAUCUUUGUAUGUAUAAUGGACUCUAAUUCAGGGUAUAAUUCACUCGUAUUCCUGCAAUCAUCAUGUGGCCCUUCAUCGUGGUACUUAUAGACCUGUCCCAUGAAAUCUGACAAAGCAAGCUCAAGGCCAUCUUCUUCUGCCUGUUUCAUGCAGUUGGAACCACCGGGAUCAAAGGAUCCAGAGGAAGAAGCAAUGCCGAUGCCUGGGUGGGGACUUGCGACGCCAUUUGGUUUGCUGUUUUGCAUUGCACCUUUGUCCAGACAGACAUCAUGUCCCAGUAAUCACAGGAACGGAGCUGGGCAUGCGAAGCCACCGCAGAGACAACUCGUAUUAUUAUGGUUCCAAAACAAACAAGGCAAGAGCAUAACAAGAAAGAAUUACUCACGGCGCAGCAGGGAAGAAGAUGAAGAACCGCCGCUAGCUCCGAGCCCGAGGAGGAGUCGAGGAGAUCAGCAACCAACCAUGAGAAGUCUCUGACCAUGUGAAGGGAUGCUACGGCCAGCUGCAGCCAGGCUCGCCGACGACGGAAGGAAGGAAGGAAUCAGAAGGAGAAGCCUUUCUUGCUGGCUCGCACAGGCCGGUGCCAGUCAGGUCAGUCAGUGGCACGCCAUCCUUUUCAUCGUCUUCCCCUGUAUGUGUGCCUGCCGGCCUCUCUUUGCGCUUUGUGGAGCUGGUGUGGAGGGGCAAGCAGCACAGCUAUGGCGACGGACAGUUGUAGCUGCGGCACAUGCCAUGGGCACGCAUCAAGGUGACCACACACACGCACAAGCAGCAGGCAGGCACCAGGCACGCAUGCUUUUUCCCCACCCCGCUGCUCUGCAGGAAAAAGUGGCAGGAUCAGAGCGUUUGAUUGAUAAUUGUCCUUGAAGCAUAUGUAUUCCUGUAGCAAUGAUCCAGCCUUGUGGUAAAAGCAUCCCACUACCAAUUUGUUUAUUUCGUGAUUUGUUGGGGGCACGGAUCAAUCCUCCGUACAUCCAUAUCGUUUUAGUAAAUUGCUGAAUGCAUGGUCGUGUUUUUCUUUA